rnacentral:piRNA from 1 species
UGAUGAUCCUGAGAUGAGACCAAACUG